ncrna:unclassified sequences ivy-DE RNA
UGACCAGGGGGCCGGGUUGUGUUGAUUGAAAUGAUCGGCGCGACCUAGGGGUACAGGGAGUACCUCCGUUGAGGGCCGGGUCAGGCAAGCU